rnacentral:rRNA from 1 species
UACGGGGGGGGGCAAGCGUUGUUCGGAAUUACUGGGCGUAAAGGGCUCGUUAGGUGCCAACUAAGUCAGACGUGAAAUCCCCAGCUUAACCUGGGAACUGCGUCUGAUACUGGAUGGCUUGAAUCCGGGAGAGGGAUGCAGAAUUCCAGGUGUAGCGGUGAAAAUGCGUAGAUAUCUGGAGGAAUACCGGUGGCGAAGGCGGCAUCCUGGACCGGCAUUGACGCUGAUGAGCGAAAGCUAGGGGAGCAACGGG